rnacentral:rRNA from 1 species
UACGUAGGGGGCAAGCGUUGUUCGGAAUUACUGGGCGUAAAGGGCGCGUAGGCGGCACGGCAAGUCAGGAGUGAAAGGCCUGGGCUCAACCGAGGAACUGCUUUUGAGACUGCCGAGCUAGAGUGCGGAAGGGGCAACUGGAAUUCCCAGUGUAGCGGUGAAAUGCGUAGAUAUUGGGAAGAACACCUGAGGCGAAGGCGGGUUGCUGGGCUGAUACUGACGCUGAGGCGCGAAAGCCAGGGGAGCAAACGGG